AAGACCAUUUCAAAUGGCAACCCCACCCCCAUACUCACAAAAAGAGCUCUAAUCACUUUCACAUUAAAAUAGUAUUGAAUACAAAAGAAAAAUCUCAAAAUAGUGAAGUUUCAUUUAAUUUAACUCAUAGAUGUACUCUGUCACAUACGAGGUUUUGAAUGUCUUCUGAAUUUUAAGGCUGUUUUAAGUCAAACUUUAAGUAGAAUAACAAUUCAAUAGUAAGAAAUUUAUUCUUUAUCCUGCACUGUACAACUGCAGAAGAAAAUUUAGUCCCACAAAAACAUGCGCACUACUUGUUAUAUAGUUUAGGAUGAGUGUGAGAAGUGGGAUAUUUGGUAGGUAUGAUUCUAAAAACUUUGCUCACACAUACAUACUUUUUUUUUUUUAAUCUCUCUGUAGUUCUAUAGAUGUUUUUUGUAAAUAGUAUUUGGCAGAUAGCAAGUUCACACUAUAGUGUAUUUUUGUCAUGUGAAAAUGUACAUACGUGAAAUGUACACUGUAGAAAUACUUAAUUGGCUGCAGGAGGGCAUUGUGUUGUGCAGGAUCUGGAUCUGAAGCUUCUUCCCUUACGAAGGGGAACUCACUAGCUUUUUGCAGUAGUAGACUUUCUUUUUCCUUUUGGUGCUAUUCUGCUGCUGCAUUUGCAAAAGAAAGAACAUUUGUUAAACACUAGUUCUUUAUUUCCAUCAACUCAUUCAUGAGUACAAUGUAAAAUCUUAUCUGACAAAGAAAUGCAGAAAAUAGUAUUGCAGUCUGUUUUCUUUAAUUCUUGUAUUUCUGUGUUUUGGGAGGGAAGGGAGGGAGAGCUGCACCUCCUCCUCCCCCCUUUUUUUAAAUUCCAUAGUAGGAACAGAGGUAAUUAGAAAUAGUAUCCCAGAGAGAAGAGGUCUCAUUGUAGAGGUUUUAUUCCACACUUUUUAGAUGUUGGAGGGUUUUCUGAGGCCCUAAUCCUGUUUCUUUUUAUGUUCCUAUGUGUAUGCAUAUCUUCCUGCAAAAAUAUGCACUUAAUUUUUUUAUACAGACUUAGUUUCACAUUGAAAUACUACACUUGACUGCCAUGCUUGUUACAGUAAGUUCAAAAUCUUGCCUUAACGAACUGCAUUUGAGAAAUUGGUUUCCUUUUACACUGAAUUUAAGGCAAAAUAAAAUAUUUUAAGAACUUUUUUAUACAGUGAGCUCUUCCACUUCACUGAGUUAAAUACAGGCUUUUCUACUUUUCUUUGUUAAUAAUUUAGUGCAUUUGAAUACUGCCAGACUGUCAGUCCAGAAGGUGGGACUUUUUAGUAUGUUCUCACGCAGAACAGGUACAGCAUGGGGAAACAACUGUGCAUGCUACCUUAAAGUUGUUGUGUUGUGUGCUUUUUCUACUGCUCAACCAUGGCUUUUCAGUGGCAGUAAAUCUUAGCACAAGGCAAUUAUAAGCACUUAUGUAUGCUUUAUAUGGAUGUUUAUUGUGAAGCAUCUGAAAAUUCUUUAUUAUCUAAUUUUAAAAAUAUUAUUCCAUAUUUGCUUGCUUGUUUUGAAUUCAGCAUGCUAACAGAUCCAUGCUAGAUUUAUUUCUUAAUAAUUGCUUGCAACCUGGUCUACCUAUAGGGGGAAUAUAUUUUCAACACCUUCCUUACCCAAACUUUCAUCAGAGAAAGGGUGUCAGGAGAAAAUACUUGCUAUCAAUUCCUUUACCUCCUGCUAUUAUUUUAUGUCAUUUUGAAUGAUUGAAAACCACCUGGAUCAAAAUAGUUUGUUUUGCUGUCACUUUAAAAAACAAAUCCAAAUGCUUAGUUUCAGUUAAAACUAUUCUGUAAUCGGAUGCCAUUCAGCAUAAGGUAAUGGUAUUCUGGUUGCAGUCUAAAUAGAUGCCCUAUGUAUUUCUCUAUCAAACUACUUUAUUUAUUUAUUUAUUCACUUUUUUUUUUUUUUAACUUCUGGUAUUCUUUGUCUAGCUUUGCUUGUUCCUUUGCUACUACCUUAAUCCUCAUCUCAGUGAGAUGAGAUCUUUAUCAGGAUAGCAUUCAGUGAAAUUUCUUGUCAUCUGGAGCUACUACUUUGCAUCUUUGACUGAACAAACCAAGCAUCCUACUGAUUUUCAUUUCUUUCUUUUCUUAGUUUAUCCUUCUGAGCGCAUUCUUAAGUAUACCUCCACUACACUUAGCUUAAAUAACUGUAUUUUUUUUUAACAGUUCUGCAAAUGGAUUUUCCUAGUCUGAAACACCAAGAACAGACUACACUGGUUUUUCCCAGAACGCUUUUCCAAAUUUCUUUGGAUAAUAAGGUAAACUCUUAAAGUAUUUUCUUUUCCAGCUAGGUGGUGAAGUACUUGAAUAAGUUGUGUUCUAAUAUGUAAUUAAAUAGCAAUAUAGUAAGCCACAUUUGGUUAAAUUACGGAAAAUGUUGCGUAAUGGGAGCCAGUAAUUCAGAGUUACUGUCUAUAAAGCAGUAAAACAGCAAGAAUGCCUCUUUCAAGCAUUACUUAUUACCAGUGUUGUAGUUAUUUUUCUCUUACGGGUUUUCCAAUUUGAAAUAAAUGAGUUAUAUGUUAUUUCUUACCAGAACACGAAGGCAAAUGACUGACUUGCCAACCAAGUCAUAGCAAGUCUAUUUCUUAAACAGAAAAAGAACUCACUGAAAAGUAUUACUACAAUUUUAGACAUUUAAAAUAGGCUUAUUUUCUAAAGAACUCUCUGAAAACAGUCUCUCUUCCUUAAUUAGACAAGGACUCCAAAAAUACUACCCAGUUAACUUACGUGUCUGAUAGCAGUGCGGCACAAUUUUACCUAACUUAAAAGGUUCAUUUUUGUUGCUGACCAUCUACUCUGCAGAGAUCCUCAAACUAGGCAAGAUUACUAUUUUUGUUGGCUGUUGAGUAGCUUUUAGUAACCAUACAACAUUUGUCUGAUUUGUUUUAUUUACUUAUUUAGAUGCAGUGGACACAGUUCUAAUUGUCAGUUGUCUCAUAAGCAUAAAAGAUCACUAAAAGUUGUGCAAGAAAUUUUUGAUUCAAAGUAGUUGUUUUGGAUGGAAGCUUCUUAUGUCCUCUGUACUUUUUUUUUUUUAAAUGUGGAAUCCUGAAAAAGGAGGUCUCACAAAAUACAAAGCAAAGGCACGUUCUUUUUUUUUUUUUUUCUUUUCUUUUCCAACUGACUUGGAACACUGUUGUACCAAUACCUAAAGUAACAUAAAGAAACAUAGACCAUCAGUGACAUCACAUUUUUUUUGUAAUUUGGCAUUGUUCUAAUGUUGCAACAUAAGAUGUUGUGGUCAGAUUUAAUCUUGUGCUGCUUAGAUUUUAUUGCGAUUUAUAAGUUUGAAUUGACAAAAUUAGGAAAACUGAAACAGCAGAAACCUGAGAUUUUAUUGAAGAAAAAAAAAUAAUGGAUUUAAUUAUGAAAGUGAACAGUAUUGAUGGUUCUUUAUCAUUUUGUCCUAGGUGGAGCUAUUUCUUACUGCUCUAGCAUACAGCACUCGGGUACUUGUCAUUCUUAAUCAAGAUUUCACAAAGAAAAAAUAAAUCUGUUUUUCCAGUGAGGCAGUAUAAUUGUAAACUAAUUUUUGGUGAAAAAGAACUGGUAGUUUUUGUGGACUUGUGUAGACCUUUGCAAAUCUCCCAGUGUCUUUGUCACACAGUAGCCUAAAUAUUGUCUAAUAAAUAAUUAUUUUCAUUUUUUAUAUUAAAGUAUUUACAUGUGUUAUUCUGAACUUCUUUGAACCUGUAGACAUCAAAAAUAGAUGUAACAGAAAUAGACUACAGUCUAUAGAUUUCAGUCUUUAUUUGAAUUCUCUUUAGAUCUACGCGGGUUGCUAAUGAGUGGGAUUUCAAGAACAUACUACUCCACACAUUUUCUUUAGGUUGUUUUUUUUCUUAAUAGAUAGUUUUUUGAAAAUUUCUUCUAUAUGUGUUCUUGAUGAAGUUUACCUGGACAUUGCUUUUCUUUACUCAUAUGACUAAAGAAUAAUUUCCUUCUUAUUGUAAGCUUGUAAUGCUGAGAUCAAUUUUGUAUUUGAAAAUGAACUAAUCUGACUUUCUUUUAAUAGCAUUUUUGAUAUUUUUGAGUUUGCAAAAUUGAAUUCCAAGAUCAGCCUUGGAAUCUCUGAAUUCAGUUUCUUACCUUUCUCUGGCAGGUACUGUAAUAUUGAGUUCAACAAAUCUGUCUAUGCUAGUUGAUGAACGAGAUUUUAGUAUUUCUCAGAAAAUGGGAGAGAAAUUGUGUGGCAUGUACACUUCAAAAGUCAUUUCUAAUGAGUGUCUAGACUAGACAUACGUUUUGUUAGUUUGUUCUCAUGGUUUUGUAAUUUUGCUAUUGGUAUUUCACAUCGUAGUAUCAUGUAAAGUACGGGUAAUUAAAGAGUUAAUAAUCCAGUUCCGUGGACUGACAACUUUCCAGAUACCUGGUUCUCAGGAGAGAAGAAGAACUACAUAUUCCAGGGGACUUCACAUGCAGAGAGGAAAAUAAGUCACAGGAGGAAGUCACAGGAUCUCAAUCUGAUUGGAGCUCUCUCUCGCUCACUGCCUGGCAGUGUGCGGGUGUGCUUCCAAGCCGUGCACCUCCAGUUCCAAGUAGGCCUUUCAGUUUUCAACACACUCUCUCUCUUAUUUUCUUUGAUUUAUUAGCCUCAAUUUCAAUUAGAUUAUAUUGUGUUACCUUGCAUUCCAAUAUCAUAUUUAGUAAAAUUAAGUUUCUCUCCUUAGAUAGUUGCUGCUGUUCUGUUUCUGAACCCAUUUCCCUACCCUUCCCUUUUUCCUUUCCCAUUUUUGGAGCCAUGGGGCCCAAGGGCCUACUGCCUCCAGUCAUGGGCAUAGAUUGAUCUAGGUAACUUUGUAACAUGUGUUUCUAUUUAUUUGUUAGCUUUUAUUUUGACCUUUUGGCCACAAAGAGGGUAAUACCAUCUUUAAAGUUAACAACACCCAAUACAAGUAUUUUUUUAGCUGAUUUUCUAAUUUAAAGGUUAUUCUCUAAGUUGUAGUUUCACUUAAGAUUUUGGGUAAUAAUUUGGGUAAAUAUUUAAAAAAAAUUAAGAAGCAGAUCUUUUUAUAUCAUUUAGUGUAUACUUUUCAUAAAAAAGGAAGAAGGAAAGUAAAUUAUUAUUUACAAUUCCUCCUGACAAGCUAUGGAGUUUAUUUGAAAUAAAACAAAAUAUUUAUGGGCCUCAAAACUUGAACUGUGCAAAUGACCAUUUCAUAAUGAAAUAAAUUUCAUUAUGGUUUAUGAACUGUGCUCUUUUGAAUGGAAAGGAAAAAAAAUGAACCACUAACUUCUCCAAAAUGUUUUCCUAAUGAUCUGCAGCUAUGUGGAAGAUUUUUCUGCUCUUAGGUAUACUAGGUCUUUUCUCCAUACAAUAAUUUGCUCUCUAGGGAAUGAAAAAAGUUUCUUGGAUUUUAUAGAUCAUAAUUUAUUUUUCAUCUCGCACGGAAUCUUGUGCAAUAAAGAUGUUUACGUGAAAAUGUUUUUUCUUUGUACGGAAAACAAAGAAUUCACAAGUAUGUAUGUUCAUCUAUGCAUGUAAAAAUCCCUAUCUUUUUGUCAAAAUGACAUGCAUGUUGCUAAUGGAUGUACAUAAGUGAGAUCUAUAGAGUAAACAAAUGCCUUUAGGGUACAAGAAAUCACGUUUUACAGACCUUCUCAACUCUGUAGAUUUGGUGAAUAAAAGCUGAGAGGAGUGUCCAUUCCCUCAAAGUACCUUGCUUUUAACCUGAAGAAAUAUUCUUGAUCACAUUUGCAAACUGUUCUUUCUCUGCUUAAACAAGGACAGUUCUGACUCGAUUCUCAUUUCAUUGAGAUAAAGGGCUGUAUUUUCUCUUCUGAAUGCUAGAGGGCACUAUGACUACAUCAGUGAAACUGACAAUAACUAGAAGUAAUUUGCUCCCAUUUCAGUACUUCAGUAAUAUUUUCCUUGUUUCAAUUCUCAUGCUAAUAUUUGCAUUUCUUGCAGAAACCUGUAUACAUCCUUACCAUGUCAGCAGAAAUUCUGUUUGUGUGAACUGAAACAAGUUAUCUCUCUUCGGAUUUUGGUACCGAUGAUAAAACAUGACUCCAGGUGUUUAAAUCUUCAUAAAACAAAGGCAUGUUUCUGUGUUACAAGACAGAUACAUUCACCUGCUUUUCUUCUCUGGGAGUUGAAUUAGCUUUUCAUAGAUUGAUGGUGAAGUUAUGGAAAACUUAAUGACGCUCCAUCUUGUUUGUGAAAGUGUUACAUAAAAAUCUAUUGUGGUUAUACUCUGGAGAAAGUAAACAACAUUUAAUUGUUGGAAAGGAGUGAGGUGGGACAGAUGGUGUUAUUUUUUGUAUAAACUUCAAAAGAAAUUAUCAAUCUAACACAAUGUGAAGUAAUUUCACCAAUGUAGCCAGUUAUCUUUGUUUUAUGGUAGCCUCAUGCUAAAUACAUCGAAGAAUUACUACUGUAACUCCACCAACUGGUGCAGUAUAACUACACAAAGCAAUUUUUUAACUUUACUUGUUCAUUCUGAUGAUUAUAUAUCUUGUACUGUCAUGCACGUGUGAACUGGGAAGCUACUUGUAGCCUAAGCAUCUCUACACCUGGAAUUCUUAAUGUGCAACAUCCAUGUACAUAGAUUGUGUUUAGACCAACAGCGCGGAAGGGUGUACAUUUGAAUUCUUGUGUGGUGUUUUCCUAUCCUUUGCAGUUAUAUGUGCAGUAUCAGAAAGUGCUGGGAUAUUUCUAAUUUUGUUAUGCCCUUCCUAACUCACAAAUUCAGCUAAGUGGACAUCACUGUAAGCUUUCUUUUUUUUUUGGUAUGAGAUGGCAGCCAUAUUGUUAGUUGUAGAGUAUACAUCAGAAAGUCCUGGAAAACUUCUAAGAAGUCAGCAUUUUUAAGAUGCUUAAAGAUGGAAGCCUUGCUUAUCAGAAGUGAUUGUCAAGGAAAAAUUGUGGUUGAAAGAAUAUGCUUUAAUUCAUCACUAUUUAUCUAUUUGCAUUCAGAUUUAAUAGAUGCUUAAAAUUUACCCACUGCUGUUCUCAGAGAGGUAUUAGAAAAUGUUUAAAAUCAUACAUCUCCCAUAGAGUAUUUCUACUACUUUGGCUAACAGGAAGGAGAGACUUAGUAUAUGCAUAUAUAUUUUCAUGUAAUUUUUAGUGGUGCUUUUCCAUCUUACCUUAGAAAACCGGGGAAGUGGUUGGAUGCUAUCUGUUAUGCAAGUUCUACAGCCUUAAUCUUUCUCAUUGCUGAAGUUUUCAAAACUUCCCCAAAUGUACUACCAUCAUUCACAUAUAAAGCAGUGUUUUGUAAUGCUAAUUUAAUUUGUAUUAACAAAUUAGCAUCUAAUCUAAAUCUCCCCUUCUUUAUGUGAUAGGAUGAGAGAGAAGAGUUUUAAACUAAAUUUAUUACCAUCUCUUCAAUGAUUACAGUGAGGAGAAAUGUUGUCUGUGCUUAAAACUUUGCUUCCAUACUCUAUUCUACUGUUUGAAUGGGAUGGAUAUAAAAACAAUAACUACUUGUCUAUUGGAACACCUUUAAAAUCAGUUAAUCCUUUUACAGAUAAAGUAGAAUACUACUUUUACUGCAAUACCCAGGAGUAUUUUAUUCAGUACCUUUCAGAAGAAAAAAAUCUGUUUACAUUUAUAGUUCCAAGUCAAUAAUUCGUGGAUAUUUGUUUACAGUAUUCCAGCAGUCCUACAGACUUCUUUGUGGUCAGUGUUCAAAACUAUUGGAAUCUGAAGGAGGCACGUUCUCUGGUUUUAGAGCUCAGAUUUUUUCAUUCCCACAGCCAACAUCCUGCUUGCAUGUUGUGUACUUAUCACUGUGAUGUAGCCAGAUUUGGUGUGUGGAGGAGUAUCCUAUUGAUGAAAAAUGUGAGAUUAAGUAGCAAAGAGCCUUUAUACUAGAAGAAGCUGAGAGCUGGUUAACACAUGAUCUGCUAGGUAGUAGAUUUAGUUCCUGGCCUGAAUUAUGAAAUUAUUUUUCUAUGAUAAAAGUAAGUGUAACUGUGAAACUGAAUUUUCUGCUGGUGGUGGUCUUAUACAGUGAAAAAUCACAGAACAUACAUUACAUUUUAUUAACUUGUAAUAAGUCAAUACUGUCCUAUAUUUCUUUGCUAAAAUUAUGUUUUGGUAACAUUAAUAUUAAAAUCACUAAGAAAUAUUAGAUUGUUUCUGGGUUGAACACUCUGUAAGCACACUUUCAAAUGGUUUUCAAGUAAGUGCUAUUUCUUUUCUCAUCCUCAUUUACUUUAAUGCUACUUUAAUAUAGGGAAAAUACUGAUAUGUUUACUCUCAUAUCAGCCUUUCAUUUCAGGUUUACUAAUUCCUUCAUGUUUACUAAACACUUGAAGAUAGCUUAUCAGGAAAAUGCCAAAAAAUAACUUUGUAUUAGGGGAAUAAAUUCUAGAAACCAGAGUCUAAAAUAAUAAAGGAUUAAUCAGUAGCAUUUGCUACAUGGCCAUUUUUAAGAUGAUAGUAUAUCAUGCUACAGUACUAUCCGUAGAUAAGCUUUUAUUAAACUUUUAAAAUAAUUUGAGUAGAUAAUUACUAGUGUUUUAGUAGUCUAAAGCAGGAUUGAUGGUAUCUUGAUUGGCUAUAGCAGUUACUAAAGUUCACAUUUUAUGACCUCCUUAAAAAUAUUAAUUUAGAAGCUUAUGAAUUACUCUCUGGAGUCACCCUGAAUUAACAAAUACUGAGCUAUCUUUUACCUUUUGAAUCUUUUUGUUAAAUAAUUUCUAUCCACUACUGAUUUUUAUAGUGUUUUUCAAAAACUCAUUUUCCAAGUAGAGCAGGAGUAACUCUUUCAUGGUCAGGACUAAGUUGCACAGAACAUUCUCUUUUAUACUGUUGAAUAAGAAGGAUAUGACUGGUCACUCCUGCCUAUCCUUUGUGCCUAGUGGGUAUUUGUGUGAUAAUAUAGCAAUUGAGGAGCUGAGCUAUGCUUUCAAAAAUGAGGCAGUCUAACUGGGGGGGAAUGCUGAGGCAGGAAUGAUCAGCUGGGAUCAGUAGAGCUCUUCCCACAUUUUUGGUUCAACUUGAUUUACUUCCAUUGCAAAAAAAUUGCACCACAGUGCUGCCCUCUGUGUUUGGCUUCUAUUCUUUUUUUUUUCUUCCUCUCUUUUCUUCUCUCUUAUUUACAGAUCCAGGAUAAAAUAUUUAAUAAAGCUUUUAACAAGCAGCAGGUGGAGUUGAAGAUCAGAAGAAUCAUUGCUGAGAAGGGCAAUUGAGAACAUCACUCUCGUACAAUCUCCUUAGAAAUGUGAAACAAUGCUGUGAUUUAACAAUCACCUGCUAAAUUGAAAACUGCAUGGCCCUGCAUAAGAGCUGACCUUCUUUACCCAGUUGGAAGUCGGUAAAAGGUAGCCUUCAUAGCCUUAUGAACAGAGCAUUUGUGAUGGUAGUUCUGCUUCCUUUCAGCACCUUUCAGUACCACCUCCGUGGUACUGACCAGAUGGUGGUGCGGAAGGCAUUCUCUUAAACGGAUUAAGGAUUUCUUCCAGAGGUGAUGUGAGAAGUGUUUUGUCAGACCCUUUAUAUCUUAUAGUAGUUUUGUGUUAAUGGCCGAUGGCUUGUGUCAUUACUGUGCUAAUGCAGUGGCAGCAGCCUACUUAGGAGCUGCUGCCUCGUCCCAGACACCAUUGUGCUGUGGAAAGCUGAGCUGAAGGAAUGAGCUGCAGUGCCUGCACUUUGCUUCCUAGGAGAACUCAGGUUUGCCAGCUGGGUAAAACUGCCCUGAGGCUAAGCUGCAGCAGGAAGACAUCAUUUCCACUAAUGGAUCUGUGUAGACAGGCUAACCCAUUGGAAAGGAACUUAGGCAAUUCUGAUGGCAUUUAGAGAUUUGAGCCAGGCAGGGAGUCAAGCCAGGUGGGAAGAGCUAAGUAUGUAUAGGGAUGUAGCAUGAUGUAUAGGACUUGUGAUUAGGUUAGACAGCAUCAGGGCUGAUUUUGUCGAAGUUUGUUGGGUGUGAGUGAAAUAAACUACCGAUGUUAAAUAGCUAGAUGGAGGUACUGAGAUGGAAGCUGAGAUUUCAAGUUCCAAAGCAGGCCGAAAAAUUGGUUAUGUACAUGUUUCCUUUCCUGCAGUUCACCUGCUGUCUUGUCAUGUGCAUGAGGCAGCUCAAUUUGUGGCAGUAGAAAACUUGCUAUAAAACAUUUGGGAAAUACUAGUAAACUUGCAAAUUGGGGCAAAGAAGUACUGUUUUUCUGUGAUUUCACAGAGGCUUCCAGCUGGAGCUUUAAUAGAGCAUUCAAAGUACCUAACAGUUUAGAUAAACCUUGCCUUGGUGUUUCCUCCUGGGUGGCUUGGGAGUCUCUAAAUUUGUUGUUGUUUGUUAUGAACCCCUGUGGAGUAUGUUGUAUAGUCAGUCAGUUGCUGUUUUGAAAGACCAGCAAGUUUUAGCAAGACUAGCCUGUUUGUUCAAGUUGGAUCAAUUAGCCUUAAUAAGCCAACUAAUAAAUCUUUGCUAUUAUUUAAACUGUUUAAUCCUAUUGUCUUUGACAAAGUUGGGAAGCAGUUACACUAGCAACAGGCAGACUGUAAUUUCAGAUGAGGAAAUGAAUGAUAAUGACCUAUUGUAGUAUAGGAGUACAGGAUCCUCUUUGGUCACACUUACUGCAGAAUAAGCUGGAAGGUAUGAGUCUCAACUUUUUACAAUUGCAUUAAUAGGAGCUUUUGUCAGUUGAACUUUAACAAUUGAACACUUAUGCUGUGCAGAGCAUUUUCUUGGUUGAUGCCUUUUAGAUAUCUGUCCAGCUGUCCAAAGAAUCAAUGCUUCUGUCUUGCCCUUCCUCUCUGAAAGAUUGGCGAGUGAUCUGGACACUUGAUGGUUUAGGAGCCCUGUCAAGUGUUGCCUAAUCUGCAAAAAGCUGUGUAUUCUUCAAUAGCUGCAUUCUAAAAACAGGUAAACAAAAACAUUCAAUAUGAAAAUAAUGAAAAUAAUAUUAUGAAAGGUAGACUGUAAUCUUUCUUGGAAUUCAAAAAUACAAUGUAAAGUAGUUUUCUACUUCUAUCUCCAUGAAUUUACAGAUCAGUUUACAGAUCUCAAGUCUUGCAGCAACACAUGUACAAAUCUAUACAACGUACCCAAAUGUUGUAUAUAGUGUUAUUUGCUGAAGUAAUGCAUUGCCUUUUGAAGAAUUCAACAGUUUAUUUACCCCCAAUUUUGAAUAUAGCGGACUAUUUGUAUUUCAACUUUAAGAUUUUUGUGGAUUUUCUUUCAUAAGAAUAUAAGAUUUCUCAACUCUUUACCUCACAAGACUAUCAUGUAUUUUCUACUUUCAUUAAAUCCAAGAGCUACCACAGUUUAUGAAUUUCUAAUAACUAUUUGCCACUCAUUUGUAUACUAGCAACAGCAAAAGGAAUUUUUUUUAAUACAAUUCUUUCCCCUUUCAGAUCCACAAAAACCUUAAAGUUGAAAUACAAAUAGACCACUAUAUACAAAGUUUCCUACUAUUUGUAAGGAUUGGAUGUCUCUAGAACUAUCAAGUACUGUCAGUAAUUGUAAAAAAAUUAACUUAGCAUGAAUGCAUAUUGCCUCGUAUGAUGCAGAGUGAUAUUUUGACUUUUUGACAGCUUGGAUGGUUCUUUGGGCAACAUGGUCUAGUGAAAGGUGUCUCUGGCAGGGGGGUUGGAACUGGCUGAUCUUUAAGGUUCCUUCCAACCUAAACUAUUCCAUGAUUCUAUGCUUAAAGGAGCAAGCUGUGAUAUUUAUCUGGCAAACCUAUCUAGUGAAUUGCAGUUUCUGACAAAGAAGAUACACACAAAUAAGUUGUCCUGUGCAAGUAUGCUUUCAAGUACAAUUUAUCACCUUAAUUACUAUACCUUCUGCAGCAGGAUAGAAUGACUGGAUAUUUUUUGUCACCAAACCACUUGCACAUAUAUCAUGAAAGUAUUUUCUGUGUUUAUACGUGUAUUUCAUGAGCUAAUGCUUUAAUUGCUUUAUCAGCUUUUUGGGUCUCCCACACAGGCAGAAAACCACUGUAGUGAGUUUUAUAGUUAGGUGGUGGUGCAUAAGCAAUCACAAGAGGUAGUUUUUGUAACUUUUGUAUUCUGCUAGGCAACAAGCAUCUUAGAUUUAGUGAGAUUAUAAGUGUUGUUAUUUACUGCUAGAAGCUGGUGGUUUCUCUCCCCUCUCUUUCUAAAUUUGAGGAUAAGGUAUAAUUUUUAUGUUCUGGGUAUCGUCUUCGAGAAGUUCUAAAUCACUUCAUGAGGCUUUCGGUGUGGCUUAUGUCAUUUAUCCAUCAGCACUCAGUCCAUUUAAUCCAGGCCUCUCAGCUGUACAGACCUAGCUCCUGUUGUGAGUGAUCGGCCUGCUUGAGUGCUCCCAGCUUCUCCUGUCACAUCACAUUUGCAUAAAAGAGGACAGAUAACCAAAUUUGAGCACACAAAUGAAAAUGCUAAGCGCCAAACCUGUCACAGUUGUUGUUCAACUAAUUGUGAAAAAUUUGAUUUGCUGGCUUUUCACCGUUUAUCAUGUGGACCCCCUUCUCAAAUUUGCGUUGGCUUCUGCUUCUGUACAUGUAGCUUUUAAACUCUCUUCACAAGCAGCCCACCCUGGGGAUUACUUACCUCUCCUACCAGCUUUUAAUGUUGGCUCAUCUACUUGACUAAAUUAGGCCACCAUGGCAAACAAACACAUAAUUAAAAACCUGGGAAAGACAACUGCAGUUGCACUUCUUAAAUUGAUUUUGCAGUCUAUUACUGGUAUAUGCCUCUGCAUUUCACCAUUUUAUCUUGUCCUCCUCUAAAUCCUGAAAAUGCCUUUGCUUCUGAUUACAUGCAGGAGGAAUUUAUAUUAUUUCAAAAUGAAGACUUAAGAUUUUCUUCUCCGAAGGUGAAUAGUAAAUAAAAAUACAUUCUUAUUUCUUUUGUGACAGCCUAUUACAGAGGUCCUCUAUUCAUUUGGAUUUAAUACCUGUUUUUGAACUGCAUGAAGCUCGCAGUUGAGGUUUCUGGGGCUCAUUCCUUCUAUGUCAGAAAGAAUAAGUACGAGUUAAGAGUUCAACAGGCUGGAAACAAGAGAAAACUGUGCUGACAAAAAGAGGAACUGCAGGGUGACUGACUCUUCGUUACUGAUACCUGAAGCUCUGUAAGAUGAAUGCUAUCAACUGUCCUGAAGUCUAGAACCUGAAUCAUUUUGCACCUUCAAGACUUAUGGAGAUCUAGUGGUAAUAGCUGGACACAAUGAUUGCAUUGUAGUGAGGGGUUUUUUCUUCAGAGAAAAGAUAAAGCAUUCUCAAAAGAAAUGGACUUUGUGAUUGCUAACCUACCUACUCCAAUAAAGCUAAAGACAGUUUCUGGCCUCUCUUACACCCAAGUGAACAUGGAGCAAUUUUACUGAGAUCUGCAAGGGAUGAGGAGGCAACUCCUCACAGGUCAAUAACUCCAGGACAUGUGAUCUGAAGUGACAUCUGAUGCCAAUCCACCAUGUGUAAUGGUAGAGCUACCUUGAGCAUUCAGUGCUGGACAGUGUACUGCUCAUUAUGUGUACAAUUCUUAAAAGUGCUAGCAAAUAGUCUCAAAUGUACUUUCUCUUUAAAAUGAAGUAUGUAGCAAAUAUUAGGAAGUAUAUGAGCAUCAAAUAAUUUACUAUUAGCAUUAUGAAAUAAUUAUCUCUAGAUGAAAUUGCAAGACUGCAGUGUUUUUAGAGCCCAUUCGUGACCCAUUAAAUAUAGGUUAAAACUAUUCUACAACUUACUUUUGCAAUUAUGAAUGUAAGUGAUGGGAAAGUACAAAGCAAUCAUCAGAAGAGAUCUUUUGGACUGCUAUCAUUUCUAAAACUAAGGUAAUAGUUUGCCCCCAAAUUUGAUGCUUAUCAGUGAGCUAACAGAAAUGUAAAACAGAAUAGCAACAUUAUCUCAUCCCAUUUUUUUGUCUGAAUGAUAAGGAAGGGAACCUUCAUCUUCACUUUCAUAUCAUAAUAUAGGACACAAUAAGAUUGGAUUUAAGCACAUAUUUGGAGAGGAAAUUGAAAGACUGAAGCAAAGACCAAAAAAGAUAAGACUGUCUUCUAGAAAUGUAUCAGAGUAAGUUCUGGAGACGAAACAGAGCUAAGUUUUAGUUUUGUCAUAAAAAUAAGUGUAGCUCAUAAUAAAUAUAUGCCAGAGAUAACAAUAGUUUAUUCUACAGAUUACAGCAGGAAAAAAAGAAAGAAAGCUUUCUAACAUGAAGGGUGUAUGCAACUUCCCUAGAAAACAAUUUUAAUGUGAAAUUUGUUAAAUUCCAUGGGACCUGAUGGGGUGCAUCCACGUGUGCUGAGGGAGCUGGCAGAGGUCAUUGCCGAACCGCUCUCCAUCAGUUUUGAGAGGUCUUGGAUAACAGGGAAGAUCCCUGAAGACUGAAGGAUAGCCAGUGUCACUCCAGUCUUCAAAAAGGGCAAGAAGGAAGAUCCGGGUAAUUAUAGGCCUGU